rnacentral:rRNA from 1 species
AUUGAACGCUGGCGGCAGGCCUAACACAUGCAAGUCGAGCGAGCGGCGGACGUGUGAGUAAUGCCUGGAAAUUGCCCAGUCGAGGGGGAUAACAGUUGGAAACGACUGCUAAUACCGCAUAAUAUUGGAUUGCCCAGGUGGGAUUAGCUAGUAGGUGAGGGAAUGGCUCACCAAGGCGACGACCCCUAGCUGGUCUGAGAGGACGAUCAGCCACACUGGAACUGAGACACGGUCCAGACUCCUACGGGAGGCAGCAGGGGGGAAUAUUGCACAAUGGGCGAAAGCCUGAUGCAGCCAUGCCGCGUGUGUGAAGAAGGCCUUCGGGUUGUAAAGCACUUUCAGCGAGGAGGCGUUACUCGCAGAAGAAGCACCGGCUAACUCCGUGCCAGCAGCCGCGGUAAUAC